rnacentral:rRNA from 1 species
AACGAACGCUGGCGGCAGGCUUAACACAUGCAAGUCGAGCGCCCCGCAAGGGGAGCGGCAGACGGGUGAGUAACGCGUGGGAAUCUACCGUGCCCUACGGAAUAGCUCCGGGAAACUGGAAUUAAUACCGUAUACGCCCUACGGGGGAAAGAUUUAUCGGGGUAUGAUGAGCCCGCGUUGGAUUAGCUAGUUGGUGGGGUAAAGGCCUACCAAGGCGACGAUCCAUAGCUGGUCUGAGCGGAUGAUCAGCCACAUUGGGACUGAGACACGGCCCAAACUCCUACGGGAGGCAGCAGUGGGGAAUAUUGGACAAUGGGCGCAAGCCUGAUCCAGCCAUGCCGCGUGAGUGAUGAAGGUCUUAGGAUUGUAAAGCUCUUUCACCGAUGAAGAUAAUGACGGUAGUCGGAGAAGAAGCCCCGGCUAACUUCGUGCCAGCCGCCGCAGUAAAAC